UAUUAUAAAUUAUUGCCAACUUGCGACAGAUUAAUCUAGGUGUUAAGAAAGUCAGUAAACGAUUUGCCUUCAGCUCGAUUCGCCUUUUUUGGACAUGAAAAACACAGUGAAAAGAUGAGCGACUGAGUCUGCUGGAUGGAAUAAAAAGUGUUUUGCCCCCUCUUUGUGCCAACACCGCGCUAUAAAAUUGGGAAGGGUGUCAGUGAUGGCACAUUCUGGCGUCGGUCGCGUCGCGUCCACGUACACCCUGGACGGCGGCGUCGUCGCCUGGGGGCACCAGGUCUCCCCCAGGUGGUCGCGUCGCGACAUCCGCACUCGCCCAACCAUACGGAAACGGGCUUUCACUCUGUGCAUGUCUGGGAGCUUUAAAUUUGUGCAUAUGGAUAACGUGCCGAAGUGAGGUUAUGUGACCAGGCUACACAUGGACAGGAAGCCAUCUUGGAUUUUGGCCAUCCUACCAUCUUAUAAUCAGUGGAGUGAUCUCUUUUCUACAUUAAAGAAUUACUUUUAUAACUAAAUAAAAGUGCUUUUGAGUUUA